UUAAGCGACUAAGCGUACACGGUGGAUGCCCUGGCAGUCAGAGGCGAUGAAGGACGUGCUAAUCUGCGAUAAGCGUCGGUAAGGUGAUAUGAACCGUUAUAACCGGCGAUUUCCGAAUGGGGAAACCCAGUGUGUUUCGACACACUAUCAUUAACUGAAUCCAUAGGUUAAUGAGGCGAACCGGGGGAACUGAAACAUCUAAGUACCCCGAGGAAAAGAAAUCAACCGAGAUUCCCCCAGUAGCGGCGAGCGAACGGGGAGCAGCCCAGAGCCUGAAUCAGUAUGUGUGUUAGUGGAAGCGUCUGGAAAGGCGCGCGAUACAGGGUGACAGCCCCGUACACAAAAAUGCACAUGCUGUGAGCUCGAUGAGUAGGGCGGGACACGUGGUAUCCUGUCUGAAUAUGGGGGGACCAUCCUCCAAGGCUAAAUACUCCUGACUGACCGAUAGUGAACCAGUACCGUGAGGGAAAGGCGAAAAGAACCCCGGCGAGGGGAGUGAAAAAGAACCUGAAACCGUGUACGUACAAGCAGUGGGAGCACGCUUAGGCGUGUGACUGCGUACCUUUUGUAUAAUGGGUCAGCGACUUAUAUUCUGUAGCAAGGUUAACCGAAUAGGGGAGCCGAAGGGAAACCGAGUCUUAACUGGGCGUUAAGUUGCAGGGUAUAGACCCGAAACCCGGUGAUCUAGCCAUGGGCAGGUUGAAGGUUGGGUAACACUAACUGGAGGACCGAACCGACUAAUGUUGAAAAAUUAGCGGAUGACUUGUGGCUGGGGGUGAAAGGCCAAUCAAACCGGGAGAUAGCUGGUUCUCCCCGAAAGCUAUUUAGGUAGCGCCUCGUGAAUUCAUCUCCGGGGGUAGAGCACUGUUUCGGCAAGGGGGUCAUCCCGACUUACCAACCCGAUGCAAACUGCGAAUACCGGAGAAUGUUAUCACGGGAGACACACGGCGGGUGCUAACGUCCGUCGUGAAGAGGGAAACAACCCAGACCGCCAGCUAAGGUCCCAAAGUCAUGGUUAAGUGGGAAACGAUGUGGGAAGGCCCAGACAGCCAGGAUGUUGGCUUAGAAGCAGCCAUCAUUUAAAGAAAGCGUAAUAGCUCACUGGUCGAGUCGGCCUGCGCGGAAGAUGUAACGGGGCUAAACCAUGCACCGAAGCUGCGGCAGCGACGCUGAUGCGUUGUUGGGUAGGGGAGCGUUCUGUAAGCCUGCGAAGGUGUGCUGUGAGGCAUGCUGGAGGUAUCAGAAGUGCGAAUGCUGACAUAAGUAACGAUAAAGCGGGUGAAAAGCCCGCUCGCCGGAAGACCAAGGGUUCCUGUCCAACGUUAAUCGGGGCAGGGUGAGUCGACCCCUAAGGCGAGGCCGAAAGGCGUAGUCGAUGGGAAACAGGUCAAUAUUCCUGUACUUGGUGUUACUGCGAAGGGGGGACGGAGAAGGCUAUGUUGGCCGGGCGACGGUUGUCCCGGUUUAAGCGUGUAGGCUGGUUUUCCAGGCAAAUCCGGAAAACUAAGGCUGAGGCGUGAUGACGAGGCACUACGGUGCUGAAGCAACAAAUGCCCUGCUUCCAGGAAAAGCCUCUAAGCAUCAGGUAACAUCAAAUCGUACCCCAAACCGACACAGGUGGUCAGGUAGAGAAUACCAAGGCGCUUGAGAGAACUCGGGUGAAGGAACUAGGCAAAAUGGUGCCGUAACUUCGGGAGAAGGCACGCUGAUAUGUAGGUGAAGUCCCUCGCGGAUGGAGCUGAAAUCAGUCGAAGAUACCAGCUGGCUGCAACUGUUUAUUAAAAACACAGCACUGUGCAAACACGAAAGUGGACGUAUACGGUGUGACGCCUGCCCGGUGCCGGAAGGUUAAUUGAUGGGGUCAGCGCAAGCGAAGCUCUUGAUCGAAGCCCCGGUAAACGGCGGCCGUAACUAUAACGGUCCUAAGGUAGCGAAAUUCCUUGUCGGGUAAGUUCCGACCUGCACGAAUGGCGUAAUGAUGGCCAGGCUGUCUCCACCCGAGACUCAGUGAAAUUGAACUCGCUGUGAAGAUGCAGUGUACCCGCGGCAAGACGGAAAGACCCCGUGAACCUUUACUAUAGCUUGACACUGAACAUUGAGCCUUGAUGUGUAGGAUAGGUGGGAGGCUUUGAAGUGUGGACGCCAGUCUGCAUGGAGCCGACCUUGAAAUACCACCCUUUAAUGUUUGAUGUUCUAACGUGGACCCGUGAUCCGGGUUGCGGACAGUGUCUGGUGGGUAGUUUGACUGGGGCGGUCUCCUCCUAAAGAGUAACGGAGGAGCACGAAGGUUGGCUAAUCCUGGUCGGACAUCAGGAGGUUAGUGCAAUGGCAUAAGCCAGCUUGACUGCGAGCGUGACGGCGCGAGCAGGUGCGAAAGCAGGUCAUAGUGAUCCGGUGGUUCUGAAUGGAAGGGCCAUCGCUCAACGGAUAAAAGGUACUCCGGGGAUAACAGGCUGAUACCGCCCAAGAGUUCAUAUCGACGGCGGUGUUUGGCACCUCGAUGUCGGCUCAUCACAUCCUGGGGCUGAAGUAGGUCCCAAGGGUAUGGCUGUUCGCCAUUUAAAGUGGUACGCGAGCUGGGUUUAGAACGUCGUGAGACAGUUCGGUCCCUAUCUGCCGUGGGCGCUGGAGAACUGAGGGGGGCUGCUCCUAGUACGAGAGGACCGGAGUGGACGCAUCACUGGUGUUCGGGUUGUCAUGCCAAUGGCACUGCCCGGUAGCUAAAUGCGGAAGAGAUAAGUGCUGAAAGCAUCUAAGCACGAAACUUGCCCCGAGAUGAGUUCUCCCUGACUCCUUGAGAGUCCUGAAGGAACGUUGAAGACGACGACGUUGAUAGGCCGGGUGUGUAAGCGCAGCGAUGCGUUGAGCUAACCGGUACUAAUGAACCGUGAGGCUUAACCU
rnacentral:rRNA from 1 species